rnacentral:rRNA from 1 species
GACGAACGCUGGCGGCGUGCUUAACACAUGCAAGUCGAACGGAAAGGCCCUGCUUUUGUGGGGUGCUCGAGUGGCGAACGGGUGAGUAACACGUGAGUAACCUGCCCUUGACUUUGGGAUAACUUCAGGAAACUGGGGCUAAUACCGGAUAGGAGCUCCUGCUGCAUGGUGGGGGUUGGAAAGUUUCGGCGGUUGGGGAUGGACUCGCGGCUUAUCAGCUAGUUGGUGGGGUAGUGGCGUACAAGGGCUGUGACGGGUAGCCGGCCUGAGAGGGUGACCGGCGACAUGGGGCCUGAGAUAGGGCGCAGACGCGAACGGGAGGCAGCAGUCGGGAGUAUGACGGAACGGCGGGGAGCGUGUGAUGGAAGCGUCCCGUGCGUGAUGAUGGGCUACGAGUGGUAAACCGAUUUGGACGUUGAUGAAGAGGGAGUGACGGUAACGGGUAAAGAAGCCCCGGCUAACUACGUG